ensembl:lncRNA
GCCGCGCCCCGCCCUCGCCGGGACCCUGCGCGCUGCGCUGACUGCAGCGGGGACACCUGGGCCUCCGGCGCGCUGCCGCGAGGGGAGGCUCGCAGCUCCUAGCUGGGAGAAGGUUAUGUACAGAAGAGCAUGCCAUUGAGGGUCAAUGCAUGUUGCCAUAGGAAGUGACCAAGAAGAAAUUAGAAUGUACAGAGGAAGGAAGAGUGGAUGCAAAGAGAACGGGGCUGAGAAUGAGGAAUCCUGGAUUCUGGUCCCUUUGGCCCUAACUAACCGGUCUAACUAACUGAGAAGAAGGGGAGUGGUGAUGCAGGACAAGAUGAAGAGCAGUGGCUUCAGAAUUGUAAGCCCUGGGUUCAAAAUACACUUGGGUUGAAUGACCUUAUGCAAGUUAUUUAAUUCCGUGAGCCCCAGUGUUCUCAUCUACAUGAUGCAGAGAAUAUCUUCUUUCCUAUGUGGUCAGAGUGAUUAACUGAGAUCAUAUGUGAAAGUACUUAGCACUCACUACCUGCUCAUUUUUUGGUGCAGAGAAAAAUGACCAAUGACAGGCUUAGAAAACAUGAGAGAACAAUUAAGAGGAGGAAGUUUAUCUUCCUCCUAACAAAGAAGACUGCGGGAGGGCAUAAAAUCUGUCUUCCUAAGGGAGAGUUAACUAAAUGUGUCCCCAGAAGGUAGGGUGGAAGCCAACAGGUGGAACAUACAGGCAAGUUCUCUUGGAGGGCAAAGCCAGGCUGAGAGGUGGAGCAGCCCCACAGGGCAAUUAGCAGUAUUAGUGCUCGUACCCUGGCAGGAUGGGCCUGGUGUCUAAUGACCACCAAUCUGGUGUACAGGGGGAGAUAUUUCUGCAGGGAGAAGCAGAUUCUGAUGGUCACCCUUUACUUGACUCUGUCCUCAGUUUCUCUUGAGCCACCUAUGGAUUAUUGCAUUCAUCCUCUGAUGUCACUGUGAGCUAGGGAGUAAAAAAAAAAAGGGUUUAGUUUUAUGCAAGAUGGAUUUUGCAAGUGUUACCACUGGAGAUGAGCCUUUUUAAAAAUC